AAGUUUAUAUGGGAUAGAUAAUUCAUUCUUUCGGUGUUCAAAUCUCAUUGCAGCUCGAAAUCUACUGAACUGGAUGAUCUAUAGAGGAGUGACUUAGCUACGAUAAAUCUGAGAAGAAGCAGCUUCUUUUAUUAUUUUUGAAAGAUUAUGUAAUGUGAGGCUGAUGCAGUGGCAAAUUCAACGCUCUUAUCUCUAAAUUUGUCUUUUCUUUGUUUCGGGUAAACUUGCUUUUUGUUUAAUGAAUUGUAGUUCAGCCAGAAAAAUGUAACUAUGUAUAAUGAUAUUUGCUUGGUGUUUACCACAUUAUAGCUUCAAUGUAACAAAAGCAAUCCACGUUUAAGUUUUGAAUGAAUCCUCAAAAAUUUAACGAGAUGUGUCUAGCCAGCAUAUAUAUAUAUAUAUAUAUAUAUAUAUAUAUAUUCUAAAAUGUAGAAGUACUAUAUCUAAUUAUUACGAGUAUACAUAUCUCUUUUGUAAAAUGUAUGGACACUAUAUCUAAUUAUUACAAAUUAUUUCAAAAUCAACAAAUAUUAAAAUGUUAUAAAAUACUCUAAUAUAAAAUGCUAAUAUAGUCUUAUAGAAUAAUUCUAGGAACAAUGAUGCAAGAUUGAAAGAAAAUUAAUGCAUAGUCAUGUGUUAGACAAAUACUUUAUUUUUCAUGACCAUAAAAUUAAUUUAAAUUUCACUAGAACAUAUAUUAUCAUCGAAAUCCGGCGCGUAGCGCCAGGCUACCCUAGUGUAUAUAUAUAUAUUAUAUGCUUCCAAUAAGCAUCCCCUUCUUGAUAUAUUUUAUAAAAUUCGCUUUUACGCUUCCAAAGGUUUCUGCUUCCGUGCAUCUUCCUGUGAUUCCAUGCAACAUAAGUUUGCAGAAUUUGUUCGUUUCCAAGUUCUUUUAACAAUUUUGCGAAUCCACUUCCUUCUCACGGUUAGCAACUGACAUGGCCCUUAUUCUGCCCCUGCAGACGAGUGUGAUACAGUGCCUUGCUUUUUCAUUUUCCAGGCAUUAGGUGAUCCUCUUUGAAAUGCUUUAACAUGUGAGAGUUAUCACCACAUAUGAGAAGGUCAUCAGCAUAUAUCAACACACCCAACUCAAUAUUUUUAAACGAGUAUGAGAAGAGUGAGUAGUCUUCAUAAAACUAAAAAAAAUCAAAAACGAAGUACCGCAUCUGAGAGAGGCAAAGAAUGCUAAUGUAAAUGAAAUCUGAAAGAUGCAUUGAAUUGUGUGUACAAUAUAUAGACUGUGUAAAUAUACUUGCCUAAGUACCCUACUUGUAAUGUAUUAUAUAUAUGGUGUAAUCUCAGUAUAAUAAGAUCAUUCAAUCAUUAACCUCUAUUGAGUACAUUCAACAA